UCUCUGUUCUGGACUUGCACAAACUGCGUUGCAAUGCAAUCGUUUUCCAACAUGCCAUUUAUGUGACAAUAUGAAGUCUGUAAACGCCCGUUCACAC